GUGCUUGUUUUGGCAGCACAUAUAGUAAAGUUGGAUUGAUAAAGAGAAGAUUAGAAUGUCCCCUGCGCAAGCAUGACAUGUAAACUUGUGAAGCAUUCCAUAUUUUU